UACGGAGGAUCCAAGCGUUAUCCGGAAUCAUUGGGUUUAACAGGGUCCGUAGGCGGUUUGGUAAGUCAGUGGUGAAAGCCCAUCGCUCAACGGUGGAACGGCCAUUGAUACUGCCAGACUUGAAUUAUUAGGAAGUAACUAGAAUAUGUAGUGUAGCGGUGAAAUGCUUAGAGAUUACAUGGAAUACCAAUUGCGAAGGCAGGUUACUACUAAUGGAUUGACGCUGAUGGACGAAAGCGUGGGUAGCGAACAGG
rnacentral:rRNA from 1 species